rnacentral:tRNA from 3 species
GCCGGCAUAGCUCAGUUGGUAGAGCAACGGUUUUGUAAACCGAAGGUCGGGGGUUCGAGUCCCUCUGCCGGCACCA